rnacentral:tRNA from 1 species
AUUAGCUCGCUUGGUCAGAGCAUGGUGCUAUUGAUGCCAAGAUUUGGGUUCAAUCCCCAAAU